rnacentral:rRNA from 1 species
GGGGAAUAUUGCACAAUGGGCGCAAGCCUGAUGCAGCGACGCCGCGUGCGGGAUGACGGCCUUCGGGUUGUAAACCGCUUUUGUUGGGGAGCAAGCCUUCGGGUGAGUGUACCCUUCGAAUAAGCACCGGCUAACUACGUGCCAGCAGCCGCGGUAAUACGUAGGGUGCAAGCGUUAUCCGGAAUUAUUGGGCGUAAAGAGCUCGUAGGCGGUUCGUCGCGUCCGGUGUGAAAGUCCAUCGCUUAACGGUGGAUCUGCGCCGGGUACGGGCGGGCUGGAGUGCGGUAGGAGAGACUGGAAUUCCCGGCGUAACGGUGGAAUGUGUAGAUAUCGGGAAGAACACCAAUGGCGAAGGCAGGUCUCUGGGCCGUUACUGACGCUGAGGAGCGAAAGCGUGGGGAGCGAAC